rnacentral:lncRNA from 1 species
GAAAAGCAGAUCCUGACUCCCCUCUACUUGUGAGUGACUACAAAAUCCUAUUUUGUGGCGUGAGGCAGGAGCCUAGAGAGAUUGGAGAAAAAAGCUGCUCCUCUAGAAUAUGAAAAUACCGUUUAAAGGGAAAGAGAUUAAUUAGUGAUUGAGCGCAUUCAGUGCUGUCUCUCCUCCUAUUUAUCUGGCUGCCUGUUGUCUGCAUGGCCUCCUGCUACUCAUUGUGGGUAACAUCGGAGACCUUCAUCUGCAGGAAGAUAGAAAAAGGGGCUUAUGAUCAGGCAAAGGAGACA